rnacentral:rRNA from 1 species
GAUGAACGCUGGCGGCGUGCCUAAUACAUGCAAGUCGAGCGAACAGACGAGGAGCUUGCUCCUCUGACGUUAGCGGCGGACGGGUGAGUAACACGUGGAUAACCUACCUAUAUGACUGGGAUAACUUCGGGAAACCGGAGCUAAUACCGGAUAAUAUAUUGAACCGCAUGGUUCAAUAGUGAAAGACGGUUUUGCUGUCACUUAUAGAUGGAUCCGCGCCGCAUUAGCUAGUUGGUAAGGUAACGGCUUACCAAGGCAACGAUGCGUAGCCGACCUGAGAGGGUGAUCGGCCACACUGGAACUGAGACACGGUCCAGACUCCUACGGGAGGCAGCAGUAGGGAAUCUUCCGCAAUGGGCGAAAGCUUGACGGAGCAACGCCGCGUGAGUGAUGAAGGUCUUCGGAUCGUAAAACUCUGUUAUUAGGGAAGAACAAAUGUGUAAGUAACUAUGCACGUAUUGACGGUACCUAAUCAGAAAGCCACGGCUAACUACGUG